GUCCACGCUGUAAACGAUGUCAACUAGCCGUCGGGGUCUUAGUGCCCUUGGUGGCGUAGCUAACGCGAUAAGUUGACCGCCUGGGGAGUACGGUCGCAAGAUUAAACUCAAAUGAAUUGACGGGGCCCGCACAAGCGGUGGAGCAUGUGGUUUAAUUCGACGCAACGCGAAGAACCUUACCAGGUCUUGACAUCCAGAGAAGUCGCUAGAGAUAGCUUCGUGCCUUCGGGAACUCUGAGACAGGUGCUGCAUGGCUGUCGU
rnacentral:rRNA from 1 species